CCCACCCCACCCCCGCGCCGCAUCUACUCCGGCUUGUCGAUUCCCGCCUCCGCCGGCGACCACCCGCAACCGCCGACGCUCCGGAUGACCCGCUAAAGUCUCCACCCACCCGGAUUUGGGCCUCUCUCAUCGGCGACAUCGUGUUUGGGAUGGAUUCGACGGGUACCAACUCGCGCAACCCCCAGAACGAGUCUGCACCGCAUCUCGGUAUGGCCUUCUCCCCUAGGCGCUCGGAGCUCAGUUAUCGACCGGCCACCGACACAGCUACGCACUGUGGUCGUCGGCCUGGCUCAACCCUAGCCCAGCAGCUCGCCGGCUCCCCAUUGCCGAUCAUCAAGUGUGGCCACUACCCGCAACAUGUGCUAUGCCGAGUUUCGACCACGCCGCAACAUCCCAGAUGGGUGUUCUUCAAGUGCAAAAAGAUGGGGAUGGAUGCAAGUUUUGGUAUUGGGAAGAAGGGUGCAUUGAUCUAUUGAUAGCAAUAAAUUUGCUAGAUGUUCGUACACUAUUUGCUAGAGUUGAGACAGGAGAUGAGUAUAGAGAUGACACAAUGUCCAAUUGUAUGGAGGCGGGGAAGAACGAAGUGUGCAAGCUCAAGAAGCCGAUAGAGAACUGCAACAAUGUGUGCAACGAAGACAUAGAGAAAAUAUUAAUCCAACUAGUGGGACCAGUUAUGGAAGUUGGAUCUCUAUUAAAGUGUCCAAUUGUGGUUCUGGUUUUCUUUAGAUCGAGAGAGAAUCAAGGUAAUAGAAAAUUUACCUUACGGCCAAGAUGUAAGAGGAAUGCAAACUUUUAUGGGGCAUGCUAGUUUCUACUGAAGGUUUAUUAAAGAUUUCUCCAAGAUUUUAGAACCUUUGACUGGCCUCUUGCAGAAAGAUGUACCCUAUUCUUUUGAUGAGAAUUGUACACAUGCUUAUGAAAAGCUUAGGGAUGCACUGAUUACGGCUCCCAUCAUCCAGCCCCUGAAGUGGGAUGAACCUUUUGAGAUAAUGUGUGAUGCUAGCAAUUAUGCUAUUGGAUCUGUCCUAGGACAGCGAGAUGAUAAAAAACUUAACAUUGCCUUUUAUGCUAGUA